rnacentral:rRNA from 1 species
GAUGAACGCUGGCGGCGUGCCUAACACAUGCAAGUCGAGCGUGAAUCUGAUGAGUGGAGACUUCGGUUGAAGCGAGUUGGAGGAAAGCGGCGGACGGGUGAGUAACGCGUGGGCAACCUGCCCCAUACAGCCGGAUAGCCACUGGAAACGGUGAUUAAUACGGCAUAAGACCACGAUACCGCAUGGUAACGGGGUCAAAGAUUUAUCGGUAUGGGAUGGGCCCGCGUCUGAUUAGCUAGUUGGUGAGGUAACGGCUCACCAAGGCGACGAUCAGUAACCGGCCUGAGAGGGCGAACGGUCACACUGGAACUGAGACACGGUCCAGACUCCUACGGGAGGCAGCAGUGGGGAAGUAUUGCACAAUGGGCGGCAAGCCUGAUGCAGCAACGACCGC